GCGAAGUGACGAUCCCUCCCUGUUCAACCAUAGCCGUCAUGCCUUCUCGCCCCCACACGAUUUCCUUCCUCCACCCGUCGGCGUUCUCUACGCGUGCCCCAUCCGCGCACAUCGGCGACGCGCCGCCGCCCCUCUCCCCUCUAUCAAGCCUCAUCAGCCUCAUCAAGCCCCUCCUCCAACCCCGCUCCACUUACACCACCAAAACCCUAGCCUGCCCACCUCUUCCCUCCGCCUCGCUAGGUACUUGCCCGCAUGGAGGAGGCGCUGCCAAGCUCACGGGAGGAUGUUGGAGCGCGUGGACUCCAGCGCAUGCCGCCAUGACCCAUUCCUCCCCUCCCCCUCCACGGCGACGGAGAACUCGCGUGGAGGACGACGGCAAGGAGCCCGCAUCGUGUGAACCAAGCGCCACCGAAGACAGGCACCUCCAGCGUCCGCGCUCCGAAACUGGGCAGGGAGGACCCGAUCUCGGACUUCAGGGGCCUGGAUCUGAGAGCCCUCCUCUGAAUUAUUCAUUUAAUUUUUUAUCACUUAAAACAAUCCGAUUUGUUUCUGCUGUUUUCCUAGAGAUUCCUGUUCAUAUUGCUUCAGCCUGAUUCCUAACGUAUUCUAUGGUAGCAGUGGUGGUCUAGGCGGAAGCAGUAAGCAUGCCGGAGAGUCAGCCGAAGGACCUGCAAACGUUGUGGUACACUUGGAGAAUCACGAAUUUCAGCAGGCACAUCAGGAUGAAGCACUACUAGGGCGUGUUCUUAGUUUUCUGAAGGGAAAUAACGUAGAGCACUUAUCAAUUUACUUGGGACUCAACCAACCUCCCAUGGGUUCGAGCCGAUCUUCAUGGCAGUUGUUUUCCUAAUCUGAAUACACGCUUUAGUUCUGGUGGACAGCAAAGAUUGUUAGCUAGCUCACGUUGGCUUGUUCGCUAAUCUUGAUGUAAGCAUAUCUCAUCUGUACUUACAAUCCAUGCUGCAUUUUCCACUACCGCCAGGACGUCUCUUCUAAUAUCUUGUAUAAAGCACACCGAUUGAAUCUACAUCCGCUGCAAUUUGGGAACGGGGAUUGGGGAGUACAACAUGGAAAAGAGAAUAUUCGAAGAGAAUGUGCACCUCUACUUUAUUAAGCUAAACAGGAACACCGAUACUGCUAGCAUCGUGGCUGCAUUAUUUUCGUUGAUGAACUAAAAUGUGUGUUUUGAUUGGAUAGAAUAUAUGAUCCAUUCUUCAGUAAAUUUGGUGACACAUGCCUCUCUAAAAAAGGUCCAUAGAGGCAACAAGUGAAAAUCAUGUAAUUAAAGAAGUUACUCUCGCAAAUUUUGUACCUUACAAAUUUAUCAUUCUUUACUCCAUUUUUGUAUACAUGUUGUGCCGGAAAGUGAGUGGGAGAGGUGUUAUAAGAAGUCAAACAAAUAUAUGUGAGAUUUUGUGUCUGAGUUUGAGUGCAUAGCCUUCAACCUGUUCAUCUUUUCUCACCUAACUGGUACAUGUGGAGUAGGAGUUCUGGCAAAGGAAAGAGCUAUAUUUAUGAGACGCUUCCGGAAAUACGCUGAUGUGCUUCUUAAACCCUGAAUUAAGCAGCGAAGCUGAAGUUACAAUGGCCCGCAAAGGUUUUGGAGCAAGUCAACGUGUGAAAUCUUUAGAGCAAGUCGAAGCUUACCCGCAUGGAGACCAAGGGUG